AAAAAGUCAAACCCUGGGUUUUCGUGUCCAACUUUGACUGUCCGUCUUAUAUGAAUUUUUUUUAUAAUUUGUAUUUUUGUUGUUGUUAGAUGAUAAAACAUGAUUAAUAUUUUAUACGUGACUUGUCCUUUUAUUUUUUUUCAUAAUUUUUUCAAAUAAGACGGACGGUCAAAUGUUGGACACGGAAACCAGGGUUUGUCUUUUU
rfam:Oryza rufipogon genomic scaffold, chr01